rnacentral:lncRNA from 1 species
UGAAAAUGAUCAUUUUUUUAAGUUUUUUUAUUUUUUAUGAAUUCUUGAAUUUUAUAUGAAUUUUCAAAAAUUGACAAUUUCACCACUUUUUCAGACAUGCGGAACGGAAAUGGUAACUCUAACAGUGGUGAAUUUCGUAUUCACCAUGUCGGCCAUAUUAGAAAAAUCGUAAAAACUGAUAACCCUAUUCCCAGCUGUAUUUACUUUUUGGAAAUGUCAAAAAUAACUAGUAUUUAUAUAUGUAAACUUCUAUUCUUUCCCGAUCAGUUUUUAAGAAUAUCACGUUUUUUCGAUUAUUCAUGUAUCGUCGGAAGUGGUGCUUUUAGUUGCUGCAUAACAAGAGGAGACAACAAGGAUGGAUGGACCAGAAACUCUUGGACAACUAGUCGUAGUUCUUCCAGAUGAGGGCGCAGUUUUUCGGUGGAAUUAUGGCCUUCGAUAUUUUGUCGUGAUGCAAAGAGCACCAUUUAAACGGACUACCUUCUACAAGCGGCAUAUAACCGGUGAGUUGAAAAAGAUGUGCCUGUGCGCCAUUCGUAUCAUUCAACGUCUCGGACACCGCCGACCAGAAAAAGUUUGGUGGACUGCGAAACGGAUACAUCAUAUUCGGCAUGACGUGUUCAGUAACCUACAAGAAAGUCCCCAACUGACAGAAAGAUUUGGUGCGGAUGUGCAAAGUCGACAUCAAGGACAGCAAAGUGAAAGCCAAGCUACCGGAAGAAGAAUCAUCAGUACUACGACAUCUCGACUUAGUCCAACUACCAAUUAUAGUAACGGUGUGGGUGGCCCGCUAGUUGGUCGUUGACCUGAAUAUAGUUAUUAGCUAUGCCCGCCUACUCCCGCCAGCGGUCAUAAUGGACAAGAACUGGCAGCAACAUAUCAAGGAUUUACAUGAAGCGCAAGCCACCGCACUGCCCGAUGAGGACGAGAUUAAAAUCCUCCCUCUCCCAGAAAACAGAAACUCAUUCAUUUAUUUGCAAACGGUUGAAAAAAACAAUAAUGGUAAUAAAGAUGCAUGGAUUAGUAUUUAUAA